rnacentral:rRNA from 1 species
GUCUACGGCCAUACCACCCUGAACGCGCCCGAUCACGUCUGAUCUCGGAAGCUAAGCAGGGUCGGGCCUGGUUAGUACUUGGAUGGGAGAAAGUAGUUAUAAUAGUUG